CUGCAGUGAAGAAGUGCACUGGGAGAAAAAGAGAGAUACAAAGUGUCAAAGAAUGAUGAUUUCUUUAGUGGCCAUAAAACUACAUGAAUUAAGGAACACACCGCAGGCUGAGCAUCCCAAGUCCUCCUAUGGCCUGUCUAGGCCCCGCCUGGACGGCAGAGUGGCUCGGGUGUGGUCAUAGUCUGGGUGUGUCCCGAUUGGCAUUCGGGGACAGCAAAGGAACCUAGCCACCGAGAGGGGCUGGGUAUAGAUGAUCACACUGACUCCUCUCUGGUGUUCGAGGUGCUACACCAUAAAGAAGCCAAAGAGGAUCCAGGAGCGCCCCUUUGUAGAGGAACGGGCCCUUUUCUGGGAACCUCGGCAGCUACGCACCUGCCAACCACAUCAGGAGCCCCUCUUCAAGUCCAGUCCUAGGUGAGCCACCCCUGAUGAAACCUCACGGAGCAGAAAUCAGCAGACCCUUCUCAACCAGGCCCAAACU